rnacentral:misc_RNA from 1 species
GAAAUGCGAUACGUAAUGUGAAUUGCAGAAAUCAGUGAAUCAUCAAAUCUUUGAACGCACAUUGCACCUUGGGUUAACCCUAAGGUAUACUUGUUUGAGUGUCAUUAUCUUUAUCAUUCCUUUUUAUUUCAUUGAGUAAAAUGGAAUGGAAUUGGUUUUCACGAAGUAGUGUUAACUUAAGUAAAGGUAAAUGGUGGAAUGGAAUAGUUAAUAUAGAGAUAAACUGAGUUAGUUUAACAAAGUAGUUUCUAAUUAAUAUAUUUUCAUUCGACACUAUUAACUAAAAGUAACGAUAAUAACCUUUUGGACCUCAAAUCAAGUAACAUUACCCGCUGAAUUUAA